CGGUGAUUCACUAGGAUGCAAAAAUAACUUCAUUUUAGUUUUCUUUUAUAGAAUUUAUUUGCAUUUCAAAGUCAAAAGCAAGUCGGUGAUCAAGGUUUAAGAAAUCUCCAAGGAUCACAAAACCUCAAAGUCACACUAGCAAUUUGGCAAACAUUUGUCUAAUUGUUCUUUUGCGCAGAUCAUAAUGGUUGAGCUGCAAAUCAUCAGUGAUGUUGCUUCUUCCUCU